rnacentral:misc_RNA from 1 species
GGAGGAUGAGAGGGAGGGGGAGUAUGUGGUUUCCAAAAUAUUUUAUCAGCAGCAACAGACUAAUAAGGGUGACAAAACUGAAGAUGAGUUGCUUGAAAAUAUUGAUACUGUGAUUGCAAAAGUAGAUCCAGUCACUCCCAAGUCUGUGACUCCUGAACCUCCUCGUACUGAAAGGCGAUGUCCAGACUUCAACUCAGGAAAGGAGUGUGCUGUUACUAAUGAUUGCAUACAUCUCUGUACUCAGCAUCCGGAGAUGGAAGAUGUUGAAGUUCAUGCUCAAUCUGAAUAUCAGUACCCCAGUAACGAUGAUCAAUUGAAGACAGAAAAUCUUUCUAAUCAAAUGGUGGAUAAUAAUGAUAAUGUCAUUGAGGAAGAACCAAAAUGGUGGGACAGCGAGUCACAGAAUCUGUUGGAUUCACAACAAC